GAUCUUCAGAAAGUCCCAGCUUCGAUAUUCUUUCAGAAAGGUAGCAGAUACUCAAGGAUCAUGACUCAGUCAGUCAGUAACAGCAGUGGGAAGAAGCUUAUUCAAAUUGAUGUCAGUUCAGACACUGUAUGCCCAUGGUGCUAUGUUGGAAAGAGAAAUUUAGACAAAGCUAUAACUGCUUCUGAAGAUCAAUUUGAAUUUGAGAUCAAAUGGCAUCCGUUUUUUCUUAAUCCAUCAGCCCCUAAAGAAGGUGUAAAUAAGCUGCAGUUUUAUAGGGAAAAGUUUGGAUCCCGAACUGAUGGAAUUAUAGCUCAAAUGACAGAGGUUUAUAGGGGUCUUGGUCUGGAAUAUAACAUAUCAGGUCUCACGGGCAAUACUUUAGAUAGCCACAGGCUUAUAUAUUUUGCUGGCCAACAGGGUCUUGAUAAGCAACAUAAUCUUGUAGAGGAGCUGUUCCUUGGUUACUUCACACAGGCUAAAUACAUUGGUGAUAGGGAAUUUCUUCUGGAAUGUGCUGCAAAGGUUGGGGUAGAGGGGCCAGCAGAAUUCCUUGAAGAUCCCAAUAAUGGACUCAAGGAGGUCAACGAUGACCUCAAGAAGUACUCAGCAAAUAUCACAGGGGUCCCAUACUACGAGAUCAAUGGAAAGCACAAGUUGAGCGGUGGCCAGCCCCCAGAGGUUUUCCUCAGAGCUUUUGAAGCUGCUGCAAAUUAACAGCCCCGCUCUAUUAACCCCUAUUUUAUUAUGCCAACAAGUAUCUCUUUGCAGUAUUGGAAUAAUAAAGGGACAUGUUGACAUGUACGUGCAUCCCUUGAAUCAUACUUGUAUAGGUUAUGCUAGAUGUUGGACGAAACAAUACAAAG
rnacentral:misc_RNA from 1 species